UAACUGUGCAAAGGUAGCAUAAUCAGUAGUUUUUUAAUUGAAGGCUUGUAUGAAGGGUUGGACAAAGAAUAAUCUGUUUCUGAUUUUUUUUUUGAAUUUUACUUUUAAGUGAAAAGGCUUAAAUAUAUUUAAGGGACGAUAAGACCCUAUAAAUCUUUAUACUAAAUUGUUUUUUAAUAAUUAAUUUUAGUAAAUAAUAUAAUAAAAUGAAAAGUAUUUUGUUGGGGUGAUGAAAAUAUAUAAUUAACUGUUUUAAAAUUAAAACAAAGUUGUUUGAAGGUAUAAUUGAUCCUUUAUAGAGAUUGAAAGUUUAAGUUACUUUAGGGAUAACAGCGUUAUUUUUUUUGAGAGUUCUUAUCGAAAAAAAAGUUUGCGACCUCGAUGUUGAAUUAAAAUUUCUUUAUGGUGCAAAAGUCAUAAAAGAGAGUCUGUUCGACUUUUAAAAUUUUACG
rnacentral:rRNA from 1 species